AAAAUCAUAAAAAAUAGAAAAAUAGUCCAAAUUAACUCCAUUUUUUUUCAUAGUUUGGUAUUGAUAUCUAGUUUUUUAUGGUAUUAUUUUCAUGAUUUGUUGAUUGCUGGGUUUUUAUUUGUGAAUUUUUGAGUCAACCUUGUGCUAAUUUGACAUGUUGUGAUCAAUGCUUUGUGAAAUCUUCAUUGUUGAGCCAUUUGAUCUGAUUUUUUGCAUGCUUGAUCUUCACAUGUGAUAGGAAUUUUUGAGCACUGGUUUGGAUUUUUU
rnacentral:lncRNA from 1 species